rnacentral:misc_RNA from 1 species
GUGAGUCAUCGAAUCUUUGAACGCACAUUGCGCCCGCCAGUAUUCUGGCGGGCAUGCCUGUCCGAGCGUCAUUUCAACCCUCAGAGCCCACCGCUUGCGGUGCGGCGCUGGUGUUGGGGAUCGGCCCGCCUCCGCGCGGCGCCGUCCCCCAAAUACAGUGGCGGUCUCGCUGCAGCCUCCCCUGCGUAGUAGCAACACUCGCAUGCGGAGCGCGGCGCGGCCACGCCGUAAAACCCCCGACUUUCUGAACGUUGACCUCGGAUCAGGUAGGAAUACCCGCUGAACUUAAGCAUAUCAAUA